rnacentral:tRNA from 2 species
UAGGCGGAUGCUCGUAGGUUUGGGCGCUUGGCUGUUAACCAAAAUUUUGCAGGAUCGAAGCCUGCCCGUCUAG